CCUACGGGUGGCUGCAGUGAGGAAUAUUGGUCAAUGGACGCAAGCCUGAACCAGCCAUGCCGCGUGCAGGAAGACGGCCCUAUGAGUUGUAAACUGCUUUUGUACGAGGGUAAACGCAGAUACGCGUAUCUGUCUGAAAGUAUCGUACGAAUAAGGAUCGGCUAACUCCGUGCCAGCAGCCGCGGUAAUACGGAGGAUUCAAGCGUUAUCCGGAUUUAUUGGGUUUAAAGGGUGCGUAGGCGGUUGGAUAAGUUAGAGGUGAAAUCCCGAGGCUCAACUGCGGAAUUGCCACUGAUACUGGUCGGCUUGAGAGUAGUUGCGGUAGGCGGAAUGUAUGGUGUAGCGGUGAAAUGCUUAGAGAUCAUACAGAACACCGAUUGCGAAGGCAGCUUACCAAGCUACUUCUGACGUUGAGGCACGAAAGCGUGGGGAGCAAACAGGAUUAGAUACCCCAGUAGUC
rnacentral:rRNA from 1 species